UGUCCCCGCCGCACGAUGCCGCCCUACACCGUUAUCUAUUUCCCAGUUCAAGGGCGCUGUGAGCCCAUGCAGAUGCUGCUCGUAGACCAGGGCCAGAGCUGGAAGGAAGAGGUGGUGACCAAGGACACCUGGCAGGAGGGCUCACUCAAGGCUUCCUGUCUGUACGGUCAGCUCCCCAAGUUCCAGAACGGAGACUUCACCCUGUACCUGUCCAAUGCCAUCCUAAGGCACUGGGGACGCACCCUGGGGCUAUGUGGGAAGGACCAGCAGGAGGCGUCCAUGGUGGACAUCGCGAAUGAAGUCGUGGAAGACCUCGGUAUUAAAUACAGCCUCAUUUACACCAACUACAAGGCAGGCGAGGAUGGCUACAUGAAGGCACUGCCUGGGCACCUGAAGCCUUUUGAGACCCUGCUAUCUCAGAACCAAGGAGGCAAGGCCUUCAUCGUGGGCGACCAGAUCUCCUUCGCUGACUACAACCUGCUGGACUUUGGGCUGAUCCACAAGGUCCUGGUCCCCGGCUGCCUGGAUGCGUUUCCCCCUGCUUUCGGCCUAUGUGGAGCGUCAAGCUCAAAGCCUUCCUGGAGUCCCCCAAGCACGUGA